rnacentral:rRNA from 1 species
GGAAUAUUGGACAAUGGGCGCAAGCCUGAUCCAGCUAUCCCGCGUGCAGGAUGACGGCCCUAUGGGUUGUAAACUGCUUUUAACAGGGAAUAACCCCCUCGAUUUAUUCGGGGGCUGAAGGUACCUGAAGAAUAAGCACCGGCUACCUCCGUGCCAGCAGCCGCGGUAAUACGGAGGGUGCGAGCGUUGUCCGGAAUCACUGGGUUUAAAGGGUGCGUAGGUGGCUUGAUAAGUCAGUGGUGAAAGCCCACCGCUUAACGGUGGAAUUGCCAUUGAUACUGUUGGGCUUGAAUAAGGAUGAGGUCGGCGGAAUGUGUCAUGUAGCGGUGAAAUGCAUAGAUAUGACAUAGAACACCAAUUGCGAAGGCAGCCGGCUAGACCUUUAUUGACACUGAGGCACGAAAGCGUGGGGAGCGAAC